CCUACGGGAGGCAGCAGUGAGGAAUAUUGGUCAAUGGGCGUAAGCCUGAACCAGCCAAGUCGCGUGAGGGAUGAAGGUUCUAUGGAUCGUAAACCUCUUUUAUAAGGGAAUAAAGUGUGGGACGUGUCCUAUUUUGUAUGUACCUUAUGAAUAAGGAUCGGCUAACUCCGUGCCAGCAGCCGCGGUAAUACGGAGGGUCCGAGCGUUAUCCGGAUUUAUUGGGUUUAAAGGGUUCGUAGGCGGCCUUUUAAGUCAGCGGUGAAAGUCUGGGGCUCAAACAUAGAAUGGCCGUUGAAACUGGGGGGCUUGAGUAUGUGUGAGGAAGGCGGAAUGCGUGGUGUAGCGGUGAAAUGCUUAGAUAUCACGCAGAACCCCGAUUGCGAAGGCAGCCUGCCAAGCCAUGACUGACGCUGAUGCACGAAAGCGUGGGGAUCAAACAGGAUUAGAUACCCGAGUAGUC
rnacentral:rRNA from 1 species